ensembl:misc_RNA Metazoa_SRP Metazoan signal recognition particle RNA
GCCAGGCAUGGUGGCACAUGCCUGUAAUCCCAGCUACUCGGGAGGCUGAGGCAGGAGAAUCACUUGAACCCAGGAGGCAGAGGUUGCAGUGAGCCAAGAUCGUACCACUGCACUCCAGCCUGGGUGACAGAGUGAGACUCUGUCUCAA